rnacentral:tRNA from 1 species
GCGGGUUUAGCUCAGUUGGGAGAGCUUCAGACUGAAGAUCUGAAGGUCAUGUGUUCGAUCCACAUAAACCACA